GACGAACGCUGGCGGCGUGCCUAAUACAUGCAAGUUGAGCGCUGAAGGUUGGUACUUGUACCAACUGGAUGAGCAGCGAACGGGUGAGUAACGCGUGGGGAAUCUGCCUUUGAGCGGGGGACAACAUUUGGAAACGAAUGCUAAUACCGCAUAAAAACUUUAAACACAAGUUUGAAGGUUGAAAGAUGCAAUUGCAUCACUCAAAGAUGAUCCCGCGUUGUAUUAGCUAGUUGGUGAGGUAAAGGCUCACCAAGGCGAUGAUACAUAGCCGACCUGAGAGGGUGGUCGGCCACAUUGGGACUGAGACACGGCCCAACCUCCUUCGGGAGGCAGCCGUAGGGAAUCUUCGGCCAUAGACGAAAGUCUGACCGCGCAACGCCGCGUGAGUGAAGAAGGUUUUCGGAUCGUAAAACUCUGUUGGUAGAGAAGAACGUUGGUGAGAGUGGAACGCUCAUCAAGUGACGGUAACUACCCAGAAAGCGACGGCUAACUACGUG
rnacentral:rRNA from 1 species